ensembl:lncRNA
AUGCCAGGAGCCCAUGGUUACCAUGGCUCCUGCACCUCCUCAGUAUCUUUUCGUCCCAUCACCAGACUCAGAGUGAGAUCAGGCAAGAGGCAGUAUGGGGGCAGAGAGACAGGAGAGGAGCAGCAAAGAGGAUUGCUAACUAUUGUCCACAGAAAUUAUCCCCGCUGGGGAAAUUAUCCCCGCUCCUCUGCCAAGGUGGUCUCCCGUUCAGGACUUAACAUCAGUGACUUCAGGAGACUUGAGGAAGAGGUCACGCAGUCUGAUGAUGGCCAGUGCGUCCUCCACCUGAAAGCCGAGAAGAAAGGGGUCACAAAAUCAGCAGCUUAGGGCAGAGCACGGACGUCCUUGGUUUCUUACAUUCCGUGAUGUCAAGUUGAAGCGUAUCUGAAGUCCCAAAUGUUCCAUGCUAGGCGUAAAUCUCUUCAUCCAGAUGGUGUGUAUCUGUUAGCUGGGCCCGGAAUUUCCCCCGUCUCUUCUUUCCCACUCAGGAGUCGGUCCCCGGACAGGGGCAGGGAGACGGGUCUCUGCCCCUCGAUGUCCAUGCGGCCUGCGUCACCCGCCUCCCCCUCUGUCGUUUUUUUCACCCACAGGCCACCCUUGCGAGUGACUUGAAUGAAUCCGUCCUCGGGCCCAGCACCCUGCGUCUCCAUCCCAGCUUCCAUUCCCCCAGGAACUUCCAACCCGGGUCAGCGCUCCCAGCUCGAACAGGUGCACAACCACAUUGCACAGGCCAACCACAUAACUUUUUUUAAAAAAAUGGCCAGCACCGCGGCUCACUUGGCUAAUCCUCCACCUGCGGUGCCGCACCCUGGGUUCUAAUCCUGGUUGGGGCGCCGAAUUCUGUCCCGGUUGCCCCUCUUCCAGUCCAGCUCUCUGCUGUGGCCCAGGAAGGCAGUGGAGGAUGGCCCACGUGCUUGGGCCCUGCACCUGUAUGGGAAAGCAGGAGAAGCACCUGGCUCCUGGCUUUGGAUCGGUGCAGCGGCCAUUUAGGGGGUGAACCAAUGGAAGGAAGACCUUUCUUUCUGUCUCUCUCUCUCUCACUGUCUAACUCUGCCUGUCAAAAAAAAAAAAGUUUAUUUGAAAGGCACAAUAACAGAGAGACAGGGAGAGGCAGAAAAAGGAGAAAGAGAAAGACCUUCAUCUGCUGGUUCCAUCCCCAAAGUGGCCAUAAGGGCUGGAGCUGGGCAGGUUGAAGCCAGGAGCCUGGAACUCCAGCUGGGUCUCCCACUUGGGCCAUCUUCCACGGCUGUCAUCAGCAGGGAGCUAGAUCGGGAGUGGAGCAGCCGGGACUCAAACUGGUGCUCAUGUAGGAUGCUGGCGUCUUGGGCAAUGGGUCAACCCACUGUGCCACAAUGCCUGCUCGUCAUCACGUAACCUGAGAUCGUAUCCUUUCAAAUAUGUGAAGCCCUGGCCUCACCACACCAGUAAACUUUGUGAAGCAGACGAUCUCAUUUCUGGGUGAAAUCAUCAUCCAUGUAUGUGUUGUCUGUAACGUGAGUUUCUUUUUAUAAUUGACAAAAGUAUGUAUAUUAUCUCAUGCGACGCGACCUCCAGACCCUGGCCCAGGGCUCCUACCGGCUGCAGCGUGUUUCACGUGCUGUUCUUUGGAGCUCAGGGGUCCCAAGGCUUCCUCCGCAGAGGGUCAGGGAAACGGCACUUUUUUAACCAGAGCAGUUCUGCUUUUAUUUACUUUGUCACAACAGUGAGUAAUAAUUGCCAGUAAUUGGGGGCAUUUGCUGCAUGCCAGGAACUGCCACAACCAUCCCAUGGGGCAAGAGUUGCAAUCCCAUUUUAUGGAUCAAGGAGUGAGGACUGAGGCCACACGCCUAGGGCCGGGUGUCUCUGAUGUCGGUGUCUGAGCCACAGGCAGAGACCUCUCUGCCUGUUUGCACUGCACAGUGGGCUUCUGUGGCUCUUUGGGAAAAGGAGUUUUAUUGCCAAAGAACAGUCCCAGGGGCCAGCUGGGCCUGGAUCCUUGGGUCAGAGGACUUUUGACAGGACGGGAGCUGCAGACCAGAACUGCUCUGUGUAUUCAACAACAACAACCUCAUUGCAGAAGGGAUAGAAAAUGCAGAUGAGCAGAAUAAAAAAAAAAAAGAUAGGGGCUGGCA